rnacentral:rRNA from 1 species
UACGGAGGGUGCGAGCGUUAAUCGGAAUAACUGGGCGUAAAGGGUACGCAGGCGGUCUUUCAAGUGUGAUGUGAAAUCCCCGGGCUUAACCCGGGAAGUGCAUUGGAAACUGGGAGUCUAGAGUACUGUAGGGGGGGGUGGAAUUCCAGGUGUAGCGGUGAAAUGCGUAGAGAUCUGGAGGAACAUCGAAGGCGAAGGCAGCCCCUUGGAAAAGUACUGACGCUCAUGUACGAAAGCGUGGGGAGCAAACAGG